rnacentral:rRNA from 1 species
UACUACCGAAGCUACGGCAUCAGUAAUGAUGGGUAGGGGAGCUUCCCAUACGGGUUGAAGCAUGACCGUAAGGACAUGUGGACAGUAUGGGAGUGAGAAUGUUGGCAUGAGUAGCGAGAUGUGGGUGGGAAUCCCACAGGCCGUAAACCCAAGGUUUCCAGGGGAAGGUUCGUCCGCCCUGGGUUAGUCGGGACCUAAGCUGAGGCCGAAAGGCGUAGGUGAUGGACAACAGGUU